CUUCAGGAUCGCUAGGGUUCCGGUCGCGCGGCACACAUUGCCGUGCGAUGCCUGGUCCGAGAGCAAUCCGGUCUUGCCGCCUUCCUCGACGAGAGGAAUCGACGAGGCUCCACGGAGGGAUAAAAGCCCGGGAGGU
rnacentral:sRNA from 2 species